rnacentral:rRNA from 1 species
GGACCCGCACAAGCGGUGGAUGAUGUGGUUUAAUUCGAUGCAACGCGAAAAACCUUACCCACCUUUGACAUGUACGGAAUUCGCCAGAGAUGGCUUAGUGCUCGAAAGAGAACCGUAACACAGGUGCUGCAUGGCUGUCGUCAGCUCGUGUCGUGAGAUGUUGGGUUAAGUCCCGCAACGAGCGCAACCCUUGUCAUUAGUUGCUACAUUCAGUUGGGCACUCUAAUGAGACUGCCGGUGACAAACCGGAGGAAGGUGGGGAUGACGUCAAGUCCUCAUGGCCCUUAUAGGUGGGGCUACACACGUCAUACAAUGGCUGGUACAGAGGGUUGCCAACCCGCGAGGGGGAGCUAAUCCCAUAAAGCCAGUCGUAGUCCGGAUCGCAGUCUGCAACUCGACUGCGUGAAGUCGGAAUCGCUAGUAAUCGCGGAUCAGAAUGUCGCGGUGAAUACGUUCCCGGGUCUU